GAUGGGCAAUUUAAUACACAAGCAAAUGUUAAUAGUUAAUUCAAUGUAAUCAACCAUCGGAGCAUUUCCAAUGUAUGUAAGAGGUGGUCAUUUGAGUAUGUUAACCCAUAUUAACCUUCUUUUCAACUUCGUCGAACAAACACAUACAUCUUGUGCGAAACUCAUUUUGAAUUCGGAAAAAAUAAACAUGUCGAGAAUUAUUGAAUCUUCAUUUCAUUUUGAGCAAUAGUUUUAAAAUAGAAACCUGUAAUGCAUUAUCAUUGAAAUAUUUUUUUCUUCUUUUUUUAGUGUAUCACCAUCAGUAACAAUCAAGCAAGGAGAUUUCCGAUUUCGGAUCUGAAGAUGCAAUUAAUACGGAAAUCUACAAAGUGGUUCUACUUUGGUUCGAAGCAAUAAGGCUGACAUGAAUAGGCACAAUCGCCCCAGUGUUUAUUGGGAUGCCAGCACUCGGACCCUAUUAAAACAGGUUAAACGGGCUUGCCAGUGAUUAUUAGAAUUCAAAGAAAACAGUCAUGUUCAAUUCCCAGUUUUAAAUCGCGUCCAUUUAACACGGACAUUUAUAGCAACGUGAAGUUGAUAAGAUGUGACCAAUGUGAUAUUCGAUUUCGAGUGUAAGCAACGAGAAUAAACAUAACAAAACUGGAAAUAGUUUAAUCUGGGUCUCGCUGAUCGCUGGUUUAUAAUACAGUUGCAUUGGGCCCGCAAAGGACGGAUGUGGUCGUUAAAAAAGUUAAGCGACGGGAGGAUCGUCCCUGCAACUAAAUGCACACAACUCAGUUCGAACGCAGUCCCCACCAUCCUUAUUAAGACGAACGUAUCCUUCAUUACAGAAACAACCAGCCUUGCAAGCAGAAUUACACGCUUGAUCGUCUAGUUCAAAACAGUAUCGCGGACAUCCGGGUCCGCAUUCCUGCCAGACCUGAUUGGUACCGCACUUUUGAUCUGUUAAAUAGGCAAGACAGCGUAGCAAUGAUUAGCCUGCAGAUUCAAAAGAGGAGCGUGUGUAAAUUACAUUGUUACACAAACUUACCGGCAUCGUCCGCCAUCACUGCUACCGCCAAAAAGGUAAGUAGUAAGACGGCUGAGACAGAUUUCAUUUGGAUUUGAUCGUGUAAAGCAAGUCACAACUGAAUAGCUACAAACGUAACACACUUUGUGAUUUUUAUACGUACCAGAAGCUGACAAGUGGUGAUUAAAGCGGAACUGGACAUAAAUAAGCGAUAUUUGUUACACACGAAGAGAAACAAAUCGUCGUGUAAUAUUUAGUUUAGAUUACUGCCAAUGCGAUCAACGGCGAUUGAAUUUUUGAAUUAUAAAAUUGAAAUUUAAAAAAUAAAAGCAAAUACCAUACAUAGAA